UCUUGGAGGAGAGCAGUUUUGCAACUUUGUUCCCAAAAUCUAGAGAGGCUUACUUGAAAGAGUGCUGGCCUUUGGUACAGAAGAGCCUUGAAUGAACAUCACAUUAAUGCAAUCCUGGACCUGAUCAAGGGCAAUAUGACUGUACGACAAAGAAGACUUUUGAUCCAUAUAUCAUCAUUAGGGCCAGAGACCUAAUUAAAACUUUUAGCAAGAAGUGUAUCAUUUGAACAGGCUUU
rnacentral:lncRNA from 1 species